UACGUAGGGGGCUAGCGUUGUCCGGAUUUAUUGGGCGUAAAGAGCGUGUAGGCGGCCAUGUAGGUCCGGUGUGAAAACUCGAGGCUUAACCUCGAGAUGUCAUCGGAAACCAUUUGGCUAGAGUCCGGAAGAGGAGAGUGGAAUUCCUGGUGUAGCGGUGAAAUGCGCAGAUAUCAGGAGGAACAUCAGUGGCGAAGGCGGCCCUCUGGUCCAGUACUGACACUCAAGUGCGAAAGCGUGGGGAGCAAACAGG
rnacentral:rRNA from 1 species